CCCGAUGAACCUGAAUAUCCGUUAUGGAAAAUUCAUCAUUAAUAUUAUUAUAUUUAAAAAUAUAAUAAAAAUAGUGUGCAAUUUUUCCAUAUAAGGACAUUGUAAUCUGUUAAUGUGUUAAAUAUUUAUCAAAAAAUCUAUAACAUUAGUUUAUUCAAAUUAAUUAUUUUCGAAUUUUUAACAUAGAAUAAUUGUAUUAGAUUUGAUAAAUCAUUGACAGAUUUUAUUAUGUAUAAUGCUUAAAUUCAUUAUGAAUUUUAUAAUUUGAAUAAAAAUAUUUUUUGUUUAAAAUUAUAUGCAUUUAUAUGAUUAACAAUGCGAUAGAUUCAGGAUACCUUCGGGACCCGUCUUGAAACACGGACCAAGGAGUCUAACAUAUGUGCAAGUCAUUGGGUAUUUUUAAUAAAACCCAAUGGCAUAAUUAACUUAACUGUUUUUUUAAUGGGAUUAGUUUAUAUUUUAUUAUGAAUUAUAAAUUCAAUCCCGGGGCGUUCUAUAUAGUUAUGCAUAAUAGUAUUUAUAUUAUUUAUGCCUCUAACUAGAGCGUACCUUGAGCAUAUAUGCUGUGACCC
rnacentral:rRNA from 1 species